rnacentral:rRNA from 1 species
UCCAUAGGUCUCAAGCGUUGUGCGGAUUCAUUGGGGGUAAAGGGUGCGUAGGCGGCGCGGUAAGUCGGGGGUGAAAUCUCGGAGCUUAACUCCGAAACUGCAUUCGAUACUGCCGUGCUUGAGGACUGGAGAGGAGACUGGAAUUUACGGUGUAGCGGUGAAAUGCGUAGAUAUCGUAAGGAAGACCAGUGGCGAAGGCGGGUCUCUGGACAGUUCCUGACGCUGAGGCACGAAGGCCAGGGGAGCAAACGGG